CGUCGCUGUCCUUUCAAGCCUGAACUGACAGACCUGGGCCCUCAGCCCUGGACCGAAGAACAGAAAACGGCGGAGCCAAUGUCUAAGGCGCCCGCCCUACAAGAAAUUUCGGAUGUACGCACACCUCAGGACGAGGUGUUGAUCGACC
rnacentral:sRNA from 1 species